GACGAACGCUGGCGGCGUGCCUAAUACAUGCAAGUUGAGCGAUGAAGCUUGGUGCUUGCACCAAUUUGAAGAGCAGCGAACGGGUGAGUAACGCGUGGGGAAUCUGCCUUUGAGCGGGGGACAACAUUUGGAAACGAAUGCUAAUACCGCAUAACAACUUUAAACAUAAGUUUUAAGUUUGAAAGAUGCAAUUGCAUCACUCAAAGAUGAUCCCGCGUUGUAUUAGCUAGUUGGUGAGGUAAAGGCUCACCAAGGCGAUGAUACAUAGCCGACCUGAGAGGGUGAUCGGCCACAAUGGGACUGAGACACGGCCCAAAAUCCUACGGGAGGCAGCAGGAGGGAAUCUUCGGCAAUGGACGAAAGGCUGACCGAGCAACGCCGCGUGAGUGAAGAAGGUUUUCGGAUCGUAAAACUCUGUUGGUAGAGAAGAACGUUGGUGAGAGUGGAAAGCUCAUCAAGUGACGGUAACUACCCAGAAAGGGACGGCUAACUACGUG
rnacentral:rRNA from 1 species